GAUGAACGCUGGCGGCGUGCCUAACACAUGCAAGUCGAGCGGGAAAUUUUAAAAUGAAGCUUCUGUAGAUUUUUAAGAUGGAGAGCGGCGGACGGGUGAGUAACGCGUAGGCAACCUGCCCUUUGCAGAGGGAUAGCCAUUGGAAACGAUGAUUAAAACCUCAUAAUACUAAAUAGUCACAUGGCUGUUUGGUCAAAGAUUUAUCGGCAAAGGAUGGGCCUGCGUCUGAUUAGCUAGUUGGUGGGGUAACGGCCUACCAAGGCGACGAUCAGUAGCCGACCUGAGAGGGUGAUCGGCCACAUUGGAACUGAGACACGGUCCAAACUCCUACGGGAGGCAGCAGUGGGGAAUAUUGCACAAUGGGCGAAAGCCUGAUGCAGCAACGCCGCGUGAAGGAAGAAGGUCUUCGGAUCGUAAACUUCUGUCCUUGGGGAAGAUAAUGACGGUACCCUUGGAGGAAGCCCCGGCUAACUACGUGCCAGCAGCCGCGGUAAUACGUAGGGGGCAAGCGUUAUCCGGAAUUAUUGGGCGUAAAGAGUGCGUAGGUGGUUACUUAAGCGCGGGGUUUAAGGCAAUGGCUCAACCAUUGUUCGCCCUGCGAACUGGGUUACUUGAGUGCAGGAGAGGAAAGCGGAAUUCCUAGUGUAGCGGUGAAAUGCGUAGAUAUUAGGAGGAACACCAGUGGCGAAGGCGGCUUUCUGGACUGUUACUGACACUGAGGCACGAAAGUGUGGGGAGCAAACAGGAUUAGAUACCCUGGUAGUCCACACCGUAAACGAUGAGCACUAGGUGUCGGGGUCGCAAGACUUCGGUGCCGCAGUUAACGCAUUAAGUGCUCCGCCUGGGGAGUACGUACGCAAGUAUGAAACUCAAAGGAAUUGACGGGGACCCGCACAAGCAGCGGAGCAUGUGGUUUAAUUCGAAGCAACGCGAAGAACCUUACCAGGACUUGACAUCCUCCUGACCGCUCUUUAAUAGGAGCUUUCCUUCGGGACAGGAGAGACAGGUGGUGCAUGGUUGUCGUCAGCUCGUGUCGUGAGAUGUUGGGUUAAGUCCCGCAACGAGCGCAACCCUUGUCAUUAGUUGCCAUCAUUAAGUUGGGCACUCUAGUGAGACUGCCGGGGAUAACUCGGAGGAAGGUGGGGAUGACGUCAAAUCAUCAUGCCCCUUAUGUUCUGGGCUACACACGUGCUACAAUGGUCGGUACAAAGAGACGCGAAGUCGCGAGGCGGAGCAAAUCUCAAAAGCCGAUCCCAGUUCGGAUUGUAGGCUGCAACUCGCCUACAUGAAGUUGGAGUUGCUAGUAAUCGCGGAUCAGAAUGCCGCGGUGAAUGCGUUCCCGGGUCUUGCACACACCGCCCGUCA
rnacentral:rRNA from 1 species